UACGUAGGGGGCUAGCGUUGUCCGGAAUCAUUGGGCGUAAAGCGCGUGUAGGCGGCCCGGUAAGUCCGCUGUGAAAGUCGGGGGCUCAACCCUCGGAUGCCGGUGGAUACUGUCGGGCUUGAGUACGGAAGAGGCGAGUGGAAUUCCUGGUGUAGCGGUGAAAUGCGCAGAUAUCAGGAGGAACACCGAUUGCGAAGGCAGGUCUCUGGGCCAUAACUGACGCUGAGAAGCGAAAGCCAUGGGGAGCAAACGGG
rnacentral:rRNA from 1 species